UACGUAGGAUGCUAGCGUUGUCCGGAUUUACUGGGCGUAAAGCGCGCGCAGGCGGCACUGUAAGUAAGGUGUGGAAAUAUCCCUGCUCAACGGGGGAGGGUGCAUUUUAGACUGCAGAGCUAGAGGACGGUAGAGGGGGGUGGAAUUGCUGGUGUAGCGGUGAAAUGCGUGGAGAUCAGCAGGAACACCCGUGGCGAAGGCGGCCCCCUGGGCCGAACCUGACGCUGAGGCGCGAAGGCUAGGGGAGCG
rnacentral:rRNA from 1 species